rnacentral:rRNA from 1 species
CCUACGGGUGGCAGCAGUCGAGAAUAAUUCACAAUGGGGGAAACCCUGAUGGUGCGACGCCGCGUGGGGGAAUGAAGGUCUUCGGAUUGUAAACCCCUGUCAUGUGGGAGCAAAUUAAAAAGAUAGUACCACAAGAGGAAGAGACGGCUAACUCUGUACCAGCAGCCGCGGUAAUACAGAGGUCUCAAGCGUUGUUCGGAAUCACUGGGCGUAAAGCGUGCGUAGGCGGUUUCGUAAGUCGUCUGUGAAAGGCGCGGGCUCAACCCGCGGACGGCACAUGAUACUGCUAGACUAGAGUACAGGAGGGGGAACCGGAAUUCCCGGUGUAGCAGUGGAAUGCGUAGAUAUCGGGAGGAACACUAGUGGCGAAGGCGGGUUCCUGGACAGUAACUGACGCUGAGGCACGAAGGCCAGGGGAGCGAAAGGGAUUAGAUACCCGGGUAGUC